UUCCUCACAUUACACGAGUCACCUCUCCACCCAAACUAAUCCAUUUGCUCCUUUUAGAAUAAUCACGUGUGUUUUUCAUGCAAAAAAUAAAAUGAAACAAUAUAUGUGGUAGGGGUGGACAAACGGUAAUCACCCGACGGGAACCGACCAUUCCGAUCCAAAAUUUGACACACGGUUCGGGUUCAGUCGGUUGAUGGAUUAUGUCGGAAACUAGCAAAGGGUUGUUGCGGGCUUGUACGAUCAGAUUCAGAGAACAUUGAAAUCUCUCCAUCCUCAAGUAUGUGCUUCCAUUCACUGACAAGAUUUCUAUGCCUUAUCUCAGUAAUAAAAAAGGAUUGUCUUUUUAACUAAUUUUUCCAAUUGAUGGAUCUGAAGGUAUUAGGCAAGAGAUGCAAGCUGGAUGCAUCAAGAAGGACACUUCAACCAAGUGUUGGUGACAAGUUCUUGAUAUGAGAACUAUCUAUUUUUGAUGUGGACAGUGAAAUGAACUAUAUUACAAAGCGGAUAUUGAAGUGAUGAGAGCUAACGAGUCCAACACUAUGUUCAUCGAUUUUGAGUUUGCUAUCAAAUUCAACGAUCUUCUUCAGAAAGCUAUCUUCGAUGAAUAUUUGAGGUUUGAACCUUAUUUGCAGAAUGUCUGUAAGAGGUUUGAUAACCCUAACAAGGACAAGGACAAGGACAAGGACAUCAAUGUAGCCUUCUAUAACAUUCCAGGUUAGGAGAGUAGGUUUGAUUUCUCUUGUUAGAAUCUUUGAUUCUUUUACAGGUUGAGCAAGAAAUGCAAGGUUUAUGCUAUUAGUUUCUUAUAUUCUUAGAUGUUUCUGUUUCUGAUUCUUUCUUAUUUUUUAUUAUUUGAUGAAUGUAUUGAAGAACAAUUUGUGUUUUCAGUUGCGCAGGGCCUUAAUAUUUUAGACCUAACAUAAUAUCCUUCUGUAGUAUUUUCCAUACAUGUUCUGGAUUUAAAAUGAUUGAAAUACUGAAGAAAUUGUUGGAUUUUAACAUUCCAGAAAUUUAUUCUUUGUAUUUGCUGUGGUAUUGAAACGUUG